UACCUAUAAGACUGGGAUAACUUCGGGAAACCGGAGCUAAUACCGGAUAAUAUUUCGAACCGCAUGGUUCGAUAGUGAAAGAUGGCUUUGCUAUCACUUAUAGAUGGACCUGCGCCGUAUUAGCUAGUUGGUAAGGUAACGGCUUACCAAGGCAACGAUACGUAGCCGACCUGAGAGGGUGAUCGGCCACACUGGAACUGAGACACGGUCCAGACUCCUACGGGAGGCAGCAGUAGGGAAUCUUCCGCAAUGGGCGAAAGCCUGACGGAGCAACGCCGCGUGAGUGAUGAAGGUCUUCGGAUCGUAAAACUCUGUUAUUAGGGAAGAACAAACGUGUAAGUAACUGUGCACGUCUUGACGGUACCUAAUCAGAAAGCCACGGCUAACUACGUGCCAGCAGCCGCGGUAAUACGUAGGUGGCAAGCGUUAUCCGGAAUUAUUGGGCGUAAAGCGCGCGUAGGCGGUUUUUUAAGUCUGAUGUGAAAGCCCACGGCUCAACCGUGGAGGGUCAUUGGAAACUGGAAAACUUGAGUGCAGAAGAGGAAAGUGGAAUUCCAUGUGUAGCGGUGAAAUGCGCAGAGAUAUGGAGGAACACCAGUGGCGAAGGCGACUUUCUGGUCUGUAACUGACGCUGAUGUGCGAAAGCGUGGGGAUCAAACAGGAUUAGAUACCCUGGUAGUCCACGCCGUAAACGAUGAGUGCUAAGUGUUAAGGGGGUUUCCGCCCCUUAGUGCUGCAGCUAACGCAUUAAGCACUCCGCCCGGGGGAGUACGACCGCAAGGUUGAAACUCAAAGGAAUUGACGGGGACCCGCACAAGCGGUGGAACAUGUGGUUUAAUUCGAAGCAACGCGAAGAACCUUACCAAAUCUUGACAUCCUUUGACCCUUCUAGAGAUAGAAUUUUCCCCUUCGGGGGACAAAGUGACAGGUGGUGCAUGGUUGUCGUCACCUCCUGUCCUGAAAAUGUUGGGGUUAAGUCCCGCAACCAACCGCAACCCUUUAAGCUUAAUUUGCCAUCCAUUAAGUUGGGGCACUCUAAAUUUGACUGCC
rnacentral:rRNA from 1 species